rnacentral:misc_RNA from 1 species
UCAUUAAAGAGAGAGUUCAAACUUAUUUUAAAGAUCUUUUUUUAUUAAAAGUUCUUUAUUUUGUGGUUCAGCAGCCAGCCGAAAAAUAUGAGAUAGUCCGUCAUUAAAGUAAAAAAUGGUUUGACAUUUUAGUACUCUUUUAUCUAAUAUAUAUACUACACACUUUUUAUCUCUAUAGGAGAUAAUAUUUUUAUUUGAACUGAUAAAAGCAGUUAAUUGUGACUGGUACGAGAGAGGCCACACAUUAAUCUGUUGUGCACUUAAUGUGUUUGUUGGUACGAGAGAGGCCAUACCUACACAUAUAUAUAUAUAUUUAAACUGAAAAAUACAUUUAUAAUCUCUAUCCAAUAAAUGUGGGCUUGGGACACCCACGGAUAGGCGUGUAUACAUGUGUGGGAGCGACAUGUAUACACAAAGUGCAUAUUCUAUCCAAAAAAAAAAAGAACGAAAGAAAGAACGAAAGAAAUAUGUGGACUUGGGGAACCCACUGGAUAGAAUUUUGUAUACAUGUCCCGGGGAGCAUGUAUACAAAAGUGUGUGUAUGUGUAUAGUUGAAAUGAGGAAAGAAAGGAAAAUCAUAAUAUUUAAUGACCAAGACUAUUAAGUAUGGAAUAGGAGCGGCUGAUCCACAUUUAUAUAAGCGAAUUGUAAUCCAAUAAUUGGAUUACAAUUAGGCGUUCUUAAUAAUAUUAAUGUGCCUUUAUUGGUACUUUAAUGUUAUUAUUUUAAAAUUCGAAAAGUUAAUAAUUUGAAAAAUUUAUCUUAUUACCCUGAGCGGCGGAUCACUCGGCUCGUGGGUCGAUGAAAGACGCAGCAAACUGCGCGUCGUCAUGUGAACUGCAGGACACAUGAACAUCGACACUUUGAACGCACAUUGCGGCCCUGGGAUUCUAUCCAAGGGCCACGCCUGUCUGAGGGUCGUUAAUAAUAAGAAAUUUUUUUAUUUUUUAAAUAAAAAAUUUCUUUAAAUUUUAUAUAUAUAUAUUUUAUAAUGUAUAUAUAUAUUGGAAAUUUUCUGUUGUCUCGCGCGCAACAUUUAUUUGUUGUGUGUGCAACAGUAUUUCUAAAUACACUUGUGUAUAUCCUUUCUUUUGGCUAAUAGUAUUUCUCUGAUAUACUUGGUUUUUUUUUCUCUUUUUAAAGCGCAUAGUUUCAAUAUGGAAAUUUGUUAUCUGGUAUAUUGGUAAUAAAAUUCUCAAGUAUAGUAGUGAAAUGUUUAACAAAGAAGGGGAAUUUUUUUCGCAUCUAGGCAAUGUCUGGGCGAUUUUUUCCCUUCCUGUAUAAAACAAUGAUCUACGAUUCCAUUUACUUUUGAGAGUUUAACCAAUUCCUAUUAUUAUAUAUAUCAGCUGUAUUUUUAAACUGCUAUGCAGAAAAAAAAAUAUAGUGUAAGUAGAUAUGUAAUAAUUACUCAGAUUUUCAAAUAGUACAUAUUGUAUCACAACUGUGUAAAAUAAAAAGGAUAUAAACCAGUUUUUGAGAAAUAUUUCAAUUGAAUGGCAACACAAAAACUUUUAUUUU